UCGAAAAAUCAUUGCAAUGGCAGGUUUACAAAUUUAAUUGGAACAGAGUAAAUCUAAACAAUAAGGUGAUAAUCACUCUCACUCGAAUUUGUUUUCGUUUAUUUUAAAGUUUUUAAAUUGCUUCUGUUAACUUAUUCUGGUGGUUUCUCUCAAUUUCGGCCAACAUCUUCGAUUUGUCGUCCCCUGCUUUGAUUCCAUCGAUUUCUGUUGAUUCCGACGACUUCCCUUCUUCAUAAGAGGUUGUACGUUGGACAUAAUGCAAAUGUUGCACAACAUCAGUGAAGGUUCGUAUAUUUAUUUUCUAUAAUACCAAUGUAUUGAUAAGUAUAUGUAACAAGGGUAAAAAUGUCUUUUUCUUACGCCCAAUGUGAGAUGAUAUGGAGGGAGUGGAUAAAACAGAUAUGUAUUCUUUUUCUUACCAUCCUACUUUCUCAACAUUUAUGUAUUCUCAUUUGUGUUGUGUUUGUUGAUGAUUUACUGGUGCGGAUUCUUUUUGUUAUUCUGGGAACCCUAGUACUUCAACUCCAACACCACCAGCAACUGGAAGUGGAGCCCCAACCCCAGGAACCGGAACCCCAACACCCGGAACCGGAACCGGAACCAAAACCGGAACUGGAACCCCGACACCAGGAACCGGAACUGGAACUCCAUGGAUUGGAACAAGAACCGGAACUCCAGGGACCGGAACCGGAACUAAACUUGAUUUUUUUUCAUUGGCUUGUUUCGGUUUCUAAUAUCAACUCUUUUGUCCUUAGCUAUAUCAUUUUUUUUUUCAAAAGUAGUUCACAAUAGUUGCUUCAAGUUCAUCCCUGUUAUUAAGUGCAUACCAGCUUGCCUUUUGGUAUGAUGGAAUAAAGGAAGGAUAGAAUUUUUCAUUCCAUUGCUAGAUGGAAUUGAAUGGAUCGUUUCGUUCUUUCCAUGUUCCUUACAAACUCAAAACCUAAGUACACUGCUAUUAUAUGACUUCUUUAUGUUUAAACUAAUUUAUUCAAAAUGAUGUUUCAGAGAACUCUUGGUGGGGGUAAACUGUGGGAGACACCGCUUCACUCAGUCUGCCUUAAUGGCCAGAACAAUGAAAAAUGAAAUUUAUCUCACACUUAUCCAUCUUUUAGGUUAUUAACAUAUUUAUCAUAGCAGGUAUGUAUUAAAGCUUAAACAACUAUGUUAGAUUUAUGUAUUAGAUUAAUGUAUUUCAUAUAGCAACUACAUGAGAUCUUUUUCAUGUCUUUAGCGUGUCUAACCCCGCAAAGCGGGGAUCUUCCCUAGUUAUAACGAUAUUAGUUUUAUUUAAAAAUAUGUCAAGGGUAUUUAAAUGGUUAUUAUAUCAAAAUCUUAUUAUUUUGCCACAUAAGAUUUCCACAUCAUUUUUAUGUAAAACUAUGUCAAGGUUAUUUUAAAUGGUUAACAUAUCAAAAUCUUAUUAUAUUUUCCACAAAAGAUUUAAAAAACAUCUCUCUCUCUCUCUCUCUCUCUCUCUCUCUCUCUCUGGGGUAAACAAUAGUUACCAUCAAGGAUGAAGCUUGAUUUGGAGGCAACCUUCAUCUGAAACACCACUAGUUCUUCAAGUGCGUUCCUCAAGUGUUUGUUUUGUUAUGAGUAUUAGUAAGGACGAUUUCGAAUACAAAAUCUAUUUUAAGUGGGGAAGAGUUGUAACAUUCAAAAUCUUGAAGAGAAAUUGCUGAGAAUAACCAUAUUUCUAACUGAACUCGACGAGUUGGAGGGACCAACUCGACGUGAUCAAGAUGGAAGAACCACGAGAAUUAAAUGAACCAACUCGACGAGUUGAGGAGCCUCAACUCGGCGAGUUGACAACUGGAAAGGAAACCCUAAUUUUUAGGGUCUUGCGCCCUAUUAAAAGGCCUUAAGUCCUUUUUCUAGCCUCCUUCUCAACCUCCAUUGUUAUCAAAACCGUAAAAGAAAUUAUAGCCUUCAUUGUCAAGCUUUUGAGCCUUGGAAGGACGUUUGGCGUUCAUUUUGUGCAUUGUGAAGGAAUUGGAAGAUCUUAAAGUUUCUAGCUUGGAGAAGGAAGUCUUGGAUCCAAAAUCACUCCAUUUCUUGCAGUCACUUUAAGGGGAUAAUGAUGGAGUGACGUCAAUUAAGGGGUUGUUCUUUCAUAUCUGAGUUGGUUUUUGGUACCCUUGAGCUUAAAGGUGCAAAACUUCAUGAGGAUUUUGGUGUCUUGCAUGCAUUAAGUCAAUUAUUAAAUUCAUUCUAUGCUUAAGAGCUUAAUUUAUACAUGCAUGAAUGUAAAGUUGGCAACUUUACGUGGUUUUCUAGCUCAAGGAAGUCAAAUCUAUGUUUUCGAGUCAUGUUCUUACGAAUUAAGUGCUUAAUAUAUUAAGAUGUGGGUUUCUGGCGAACUCGGCGAGUUGGCUCAGUUUUCCGUGACAUUUUCAGAUUGAUAUAGGAACUUAGCGAGUUUGUUGGUCAGCUCGGUGAGUUGACUUGGUUUUUCCCGAUAUGUGCAGUUGAUGGAGAAACUCGACGAGUUGAAGGACAACUCGGCAAGUUGGGUUAACUCAGGUCGUUCACUUUGACUUUCAAUUUAUGAUUUUGAACAAGUUUGUCCCAAGGGGUACUUGAGGUAAUCUGAAUUGUAAAUUAGGAAAUUAUGGGCCCAUAUGGGGUUGGGCCCAAUUUGGAAAAUUGGGCCAUUAGUGGGCCUUUCUGGAUCUUUUGGUUUUGGGCCUCAGUUUUGGUUCAUUUUGGGUCACGGGUAAGAUGGUCAUUUACCCCAACUAAGGAUUAUGGAUUAUAGCAUGAAACCCAAUUGCUAAUUGGGUGUGUUGUUGGUAUUGAUAGCUCAAGAUGCCGAAAGGGCGGUAGCUAGGGAUUUCUUUCUAUGAGCUUCUACAUUCGAGGUUAGUUUUCGUCACUAUACUUUUAGGUCGAAGGCACCAAGGCCAACCCUUUGGUUUGAUAACCCGAUAUUGUUGAUAUGCCGAGUAUGAAAUAGAUAUGCAUGCUAGUAUGGUUUUGCUGGUCUUGAUAUGUUAGUCUGGUAGAUCUGUAGGACCACCUGUGAUACUGUCUGCUUAUCUGUAUAUGAUAUUAUCUAUUAUAUAUCGACAUAUUGUGUGGGUUGGGUUGAGGUUGUAUUGCUUUGUGUUGUAGCCAACA